rnacentral:lncRNA from 1 species
UUAAAAAAUAACAUUAUAAAAUGUAGUUGGAGAUGGCAGUUGUACAUUUUUACAAUGCUUAGCAAACAUUUUAGGAUCAUAAGCAUCCAUUUUAAUAUGGAUUACUUCUGAAACACCUUGCUAUAAAAUGAAAAUACCAUUAUUUGUUUUUAAAAAGGCAUUUCAAGAUUAGUUAAUGGAAAGCAGCAACCCUAUGAAUUGUGUGAUCAAACUCCACAAAUAAAAUAUUUUAAAGCCAAUUUCAAAAUAAUGUUAUUUCAAAGAUAAGCUGGCUCACUUUAAAAUUCUUGUCCCACCGUCCAAAUCUAAAAUGUAAUUUAUGGAUUAUCCUUUUAUAUAUUGGUUCUAAAAUAUCUUUUGGCAUGUAUAAACUUUAUGAGCAUCUUACAUCUUCUACUGUGAGCUUUCAAUAAAAUAAGGUCAUUUAAAGGCUUAAUUUGGUGUAUUUCCUAAUGUUAUAUGCAUCUCCUUUUAUCUCUUCCUUACUAAAAUGUACUACUUGUUUUCAUUCCUCAGAGGUGAUCCAAAAUAUUUAUUUAAGCAAAGAUAAAAGCCAUCUCUCAUGUAAAUGGUUACCCAAUUCACCCUACUUGAGACUGAAUUUCACUUUUACUAAUGGACCCUAUUUACAUUAGAAAAAAAACCAGCAAUGACUUUUUAAGAUCAAGAUGCUUAUUCAGAGAUCAUAGUUGGAUGUUUGUAUGGGAGAGUUUCUGUUCUAUUUUCUGCUUUGUCCAUCAUAAGCAAUAAGGACUCACCCUCAGAGAAGAGAAGCAACCUCCAAGUUUACCGUACAGAUGAACAGAAAAAUGAGAUCAAAAGAAGGAAGGUCAUUUGAAAAAUGAGAUCAAAAGAAGGAAGGUCAUUUGCCACAAAGGCAGAGUAGAGGCUCCUGAAAAUCUUUUCCAACAUCCAUAUCACUAUACCAAACUGCCUUUAUGAAGGAUACAUUUCUGAAUGAAGAAUAGAUACGGAAUGACUAGAAGCUCCAUAUUAGAAUUAGAUUUUGAAACCAAAACCUAGCUGUAGAAGGACAUUAGGAAAUAUCCAUGAUUUCAGAAUGGAUUUUUCUGUUCAUUUCUAACCCCAAUUAGAAUUAGAAUAGCAAAAUAUGCUACAAAGUUUCUCUAGAUACCUUAAUGCUCAGUGAAAUGUGUCUGUCUAGUUCUUACUAAAAGCAAAUACUUCAUUGUGGACAUAUACUUGUUCAUAUUUUCAUUUUUUCACAAAAGUAAUCCUUUUUAAAGAGCUAGUUUACUUGUUCUAUUAUUGUAAUAAAAAAUCAAUUUGCCUCUGACUCAUUAAAAGUGGCAGUGUG